GGGGGCCUAAUGCAAGUCGAGCGGAACGAGUUAUACCUUCGGGGACGAUAACGGCGUCGAGCGGCGAGGGUGAGUAAUGCCUAGGAAAUUGCCCUGAUGUGGGGGAUAACCAUUGGAAACGAUGGCUAAUACCGCAUGAUGCCUACGGGCCAAAGAGGGGGACCUUCGGGCCUCUCGCGUCAGGAUAUGCCUAGGUGGGAUUAGCUAGUUGGUGAGGUAAGGGCUCACCAAGGCGACGAUCCCUAGCUGGUCUGAGAGGAUGAUCAGCCACACUGGAACUGAGACACGGUCCAGACUCCUACGGGAGGCAGCAGUGGGGAAUAUUGCACAAUGGGCGCAAGCCUGAUGCAGCCAUGCCGCGUGUGUGAAGAAGGCCUUCGGGUUGUAAAGCACUUUCAGUCGUGAGGAAGGUGUGUAGUUAAUAGCUGCAUUAUUUGACGUUAGCGACAGAAGAAGCACCGGCUAACUCCGUGCCAGCAGCCGCGGUAAUACGGAGGGUGCGAGCGUUAAUCGGAAUUACUGGGCGUAAAGCGCAUGCAGGUGGUUUGUUAAGUCAGAUGUGAAAGCCCGGGGCUCAACCUCGGAAUUGCAUUUGAAACUGGCAGACUAGAGUACUGUAGAGGGGGGUAGAAUUUCAGGUGUAGCGGUGAAAUGCGUAGAGAUCUGAAGGAAUACCGGUGGCGAAGGCGGCCCCCUGGACAGAUACUGACACUCAGAUGCGAAAGCGUGGGGAGCAAACAGGAUUAGAUACCCUGGUAGUCCACGCCGUAAACGAUGUCUACUUGGAGGUUGUGGCCUUGAGCCGUGGCUUUCGGAGCUAACGCGUUAAGUAGACCGCCUGGGGAGUACGGUCGCAAGAUUAAACUCAAAUGAAUUGACGGGGGCCCGCACAAGCGGUGGAGCAUGUGGUUUAAUUCGAUGCAACGCGAAGAACCUUACCUACUCUUGACAUCCAGAGAACUUUCCAGAGAUGGAUUGGUGCCUUCGGGAACUCUGAGACAGUGCUGCAUGGCUGUCGUCAGCUCGUGUUGUGAAUGUUGGGUUAAGUCCCGCACGAGCGCACCUUAUCCCUGUUUGCAGCGAGUAAUGUGGGUAACUCAGGAGACUGCCGGUUAAUAACCCGGGAGGGAG
rnacentral:rRNA from 1 species